GUUCUGAGCUGCUCUUUUAAGAAGUCUCAAAAGGCAGCCAGAAGGGAGAGUCAAGGUUCUGGACAAGCUUAGGGAAUCAGAAAUAUUUUUGGCCAUUUUGGAAAAUUCAGUCCACCACUAUAAGAUCUACCUUUGGAAGGCUUGGGUCUGGGAUGCAGGAAGGAUUCAAAAGGAAGAGAUGACUGUAACGCCUGGCCCUGAAACUGUUCACCCUCAAGGCAUUUCCCAUCUGAUUCCAUUGGUUUCUGGACAGUGAGUCACACAUUGCGGGUAAAAGCUGUUUCGAGACUCGUUCUUCUCUGUCUUCCUCUCUGUCCUCUGUUGCCCCUCACUUAUUCCCUCACCUCCGCCUUCUGCACAGGACAUCCCCUUUGGAGUCCCACAGUGUCCUAUGCGCAUCCCUCUCCUUGGGCUUACUAUUCCCAACUGUAAUAUUCUGGCUAUUGCCCAUUGCUGGUACUUCCUUCUCCUUUUUCUCAUGUUUUUGUGACUGGCUAACUUUUCUCCUGGGUGACACAUUGUCUCUAAGGGGUUUAAUGCAUUCAAGUUUUCUUGGCUUGGGAACCACCGAUCUUUUCAAGGUGCAUUCAAGGUGACUUUAGUGCAGUUCUGAUUUGGAAAACACUGCAGCCUGGAACAGAAGGGCCCCUGCUCAGGUGCCUGCCCUUGGAGAAGCUGCGCGCGCAGCAGGAGCCUGUUUCUCCUGAGACGUCUCUUCUGCGCCAUCUGCCGACAGAGUUGAACAUCUCGCCAGCCGGCAAAGGAAAAAUAAACUCUCACAGUCAACCAAAAGGUUGAAGUGGGUGCUGUGACAAUGAACCCAAAGCCCACAGAAGUGCGUAUAUGUGCUUCGUAUGGCUGUUCCCCAACAAGCUAGUAUUUAUUAAAAUAUUUCUCAUACUUUGUCUUUCUUCUCAAUAUAUAAUUCAUAUAUAUGUGCAUAUUCUUUUUAUUAAUUUAUGUACUUGUACUUGUUUUCUCUACUAAAUUAGAGGGCUUCUUUAACAUUUUUCCAAGUAGAAAAAUUUAAUAUAACCUGAUUCCCCCCAUCCCCUAUGAGAGAGGAAAAAAAUAUAAUGAAUUUAUCUUUGCAAUUGGUCCAUAAGACAGAUUUCCACAUACCAUGGUAGAGAAAUAAAUCAGUUUAUUUUUUAUAGGUAGACAUAUGGAUAAAUGCAUAAUUGGAUACAUGCAAAAAGAGGAAGAAGAACACAAAUCGAUUGAAGAAUAUGUACAUAGUUUAAAACAUUCAUAAAAGACAUACUUUUUUUGGGGGGGGGUACCGGGGAUCGAACUCCGGUCCUUGUGCUUGCGCAGCAGGCGGCAAAACCACUGAGCUAAAUCCCUGGCCCAUAAAAGACAUACUUUAUUAAAACUGAAGUCUGUAGGACAUAAAUUUUAUCAUUGGUAUAGAAAUUUGGGGGAAUUUGGGGUGGUAUUCUAGCCUCAGCAUGGUUUCUGUCUUUGAUUUCAACAAACAAGCCUUUCUCCUCUUCAUCUGGACAUACUUGUCAAUUUAGUGUCUUUGGGGGAAGGAACACUCCUCUUUAUUUAAAACAUAAUUUACUGUAUAAUCUUUGAUUGAUAUCUAACUUGCAUUGCAAUCCUAGCAUAUUAUUUGUUUGACUCCUCCAGGACUCAAGUUUUCCAUAAACAAAUGAAGGAAUAACAGAAUUAUUUCAUUGGAAAUGAAUAAAAAUAAAUCUACAAAAUUCCUGGA